AUGAACGCUGGCGGCGUGCCUAAUACAUGCCAGUCGAGCGAACGGACGAGAAGCUUGCUUCUCUGAUGUUAGCGGCGGACGGGUGAGUAACACGUGGAUAACCUACCUAUAAGACUGGGAUAACUUCGGGAAACCGGAGCUAAUACCGGAUGAUAUUUUGAACCGCAUGGUUCAAAAGUGAAAGACGGUCUUGCUGUCACUUAUAGAUGGAUCCGCGCUGCAUUAGCUAGUUGGUAAGGUAACGGCUUACCAAGGCAACGAUGCACAGCCGACCUGAGGGGGUGAUCGGCCACACUGGAACUGAGACACGGUCCAGACUCCUACGGGAGGCAGCAGUGGGGAAUCUUCCGCAAUGGGCGAAAGCCUGACGGAGCAACGCCGCGUGAGUGAUGAAGGUCUUCGGAUCGUAAAACUCUGUUAUUAGGGAAGAACAUAUGUGUAAGUAACUGUGCACAUCUUGACGGUACCUAAUCAGAAAGCCACGGCUAACUACGUG
rnacentral:rRNA from 1 species